rnacentral:rRNA from 1 species
AGAGUUUGAUCCUGGCUCAGGACGAACGCUGGCGGCGUGCCUAACACAUGCAAGUCGAACGGAGAAUUUCAAUAAGCUUGCUUGACGAAAUUCUUAGUGGCGGACGGGUGAGUAACGCGUGGGUAACCUACCCAUAAAGCCGGGACAACCCUUGGAAACGAGGGCUAAUACCGGAUAAUCUUUGAUCGUGGCAUCACGGAAUAAGGAAAGGUGGCCUCUGUGUAUGCUACCGAUUAUGGAUGGACCCGCGUCUGAUUAGCUAGUUGGUGGGGUAAAGGCCUACCAAGGCGACGAUCAGUAGCCGGCCUGAGAGGGUGAACGGCCACACUGGGACUGAGACACGGCCCAGACUCCUACGGGAGGCAGCAGUGGGGAAUCUUCCGCAAUGGACGAAAGUCUGACGGAGCAACGCCGCGUGUAUGAUGAAGGUCUUCGGAUUGUAAAGUACUGUCUUUGGGGAAGAACGGCGUACUUGAAAAUAUUGAGUGCGCAUGACGGUACCCAAGGAGGAAGCCCCGGCUAACUACGUGCCAGCAGCCGCGGUAAUACGUAGGGGGCAAGCGUUGUCCGGAAUUAUUGGGCGUAAAGGGCGCGUAGGCGGAUCGUUAAGUCCGGUGUGAAAGCCCAGGGCUCAACCCUGAGAGUGCUUCUGAAACUGGCUAUCUUGAGUGCAAGAGAGGGAAGUGGAAUUCCCGGUGUAGAGGUGAAAUUCGUAGAUAUUGGAAGGAAUACCAGUGGCGAAGGCGGCUUUCUGGACCGAUAUUGACACUGAGAUGCGAAAGCGUGGGGAGCAAACAGGAUUAGAUACCCUGGUAGUCCACGCCGUAAACGAUGAGUGCUAGGUGUCGGGGGUAUCGACCCCCUCGGUGCCACAGCUAACGCAAUAAGCACUCCGCCUGGGGAGUACGGUCGCAAGACUGAAACUCAAAGGAAUUCGCGGGCCCGCACAAGCGGUGGAGUAUGUGGUUUAAUUCGACGCAACGCGAAGAACCUUACCAAGGCUUGACAUCCCGUGACAGCUGUGGAAACACAGUCUUGCAAGUUUACUUGCACACGGAGACAGGUGGUGCAUGGUUGUCGUCAGCUCGUGUCGUGAGAUGUUGGGUUAAGUCCCGCAACGAGCGCAACCCCUACAGCCAGUUGCCAGCACGUAAAGGUGGGAACUCUGGCAGAACUGCCGUUGACAAAACGGAGGAAGGUGGGGAUGACGUCAAAUCAUCAUGCCCCUUAUGUCUUGGGCUACACACGUACUACAAUGGCCUGAACAGAGGGAAGCAAAACUGCGAAGUUAAGCGAACCCCUUAAAACAGGUCCCAGUUCGGAUUGUAGGCUGCAACUCGCCUACAUAAAGUCGGAAUCGCUAGUAAUCGCAGGUCAGCAUACUGCGGUGAAUAAGUUCCAGGGCCUUGUACAAACCGCCCGUCACACCAUGAAAGUCUGCAACGCCCGAAGCCAGUGACGUAACCCGUAAGGGAGCUAGCCGUCGAAGGUGGGGCCGAUGAUUGGGGUGAAGUCGUAACAAGGUA